UAUAUCCAUUGAAAAGGUAUAAAACAGUUUUCCAUUUCAUUCAAUUUAACUCUUUCAAUUUCAUGAUGAAUGAACUCACUAUUGCAAAAUAAAGGAAAAAAUUCACAUAAAAUGUUUAAAAAUUCCAAUGCACCGAACAAUAAUCUUUAGUCCGUUAAACUUCUUACCAAACAUCAUAUUAAUAUAAUACACAAAAAAAAAACAAUGUUUCGAGUACAAAUAAAUCAUGUUUGUACUGAUAAGUGAGCGAAAACAAAAAGCGUUUCCUACUUAUAUUGAUACAUUGUUUUACUUUGUAACACGAGUUUAUUUCACGACUAAAAUUAGUAUCACGACUUUUUAGCGUGAUCAGUAACAUUUAUAUAGAUAUUAUAGUCCAGGAAAUGAAGCCUGAACGUGACCGUUCUACAUUAGAAGAUUCAUGGGAUUAUGUUCAUACCACUAAGUUCAAAAAGUGAAAUAAUGAUAGAAAAGUGUUAGGCACCAUUGCUUCAUAUAAUGGGAUAAAGGGAGAAUUUGCUAAAAAGCGGUGGUAUUCGAAAAAUAAGAAGAUACUUUUCCAUCAAGACACAUCUUGGUGAUAGCCAUGUCUACAAAUCACGAAUUGCAUUUCAAAUUGGUUAACUAUCAACUGUAUACACCAGAUCUGACCCCAGCGAUUUUUUCUAUGACUUUGACGUAAACGACUAUUAUUUGGAAAGAUUAAAAAGGUUAGAGAAUCACAGCAAAAAAUAUAUAGGCUCAAAAAGAGGCUAUGCUGAAGAAUAAAAAUGAUCAUGGAAAAACAAUGUCUUGUUUCUUUUCAGUCGCAUUCGUAGAAAUGUUCUGAGAUCUUACUGGUGAUUCCUAGUAGUUUUAGAAAAAUGGUUUAUGGCAUAAUGGCUGGAUAUCGUGCUACAUUAAGUUCGAGCUCAAGCUCAUCCAAAGAGGAAAAUACUAUUGACGUAAGACGAAAAUUAUACAGAAAAAACUAUUUGGAAAUUCAUAACAACUUUGAUUUUUCAUAAACUGUAUCGGCUUCGGAUUCGUAACAUUGUAGCUCGUUGGCCAGGUUCCGUUCACGACCAGACCAUUCAAUACAGAGUUUUGAGAAGAUAGUUUGAGGAAGGUCACUUUGGAAGACAUCUUUUAGAGGGUGACAACGGAUAUCGCAUUCGGAGUUACCUCGUGGCAAAAUUGAAAAACGUGAUUACAAACGCUGAAAAUUUAAACAAUGAAUCUAUUAUAAGAACAAGGAACAUCGUAAAAAUAAAAAUUGUGCAUCAUUCAUGUUAAACUUUCAAUACUUACGAUUGAAAAUGAUAAAAAUAAUUAUUGAAUAGAAUAAUUGAGGUCAAAAAUUGAAUUGAAGAAUUAAAUUGGCAACUCCAUGCCACCAAAGAUCAAGUCAAAAGAAGUGUUAGCGAUAAAACAACACUCACUUUUACGUUUUAUUUUGUUUCUUUUUUUAACGACACAUAUUGGAUAAGAACAGUGUAAUGUCAACCUUUUUUUAACAUCAUCACUAUACCAAUUAAGUUAAAGAGCCCAGUAAUCUAAUAUAAAUAUAACAUAUGCGGUGGGAUUGUGAAACCGAUCAUAAUUUGUUUAUUUUCCACUUAUGCUUGUUCACAAUUAAGUUAAGUACAAAAUGUUUCGAAAGCAAACUUUAUUUGAGUCAUAAAUAAGCUCCUUUAAAAUACAAAUUUUUCAAUGGCUGUUUUUAAAAAUCUACUACGAUAAUAUUUUUGAAGAUAUUUUUAGCUUUGUUAUUUUAGAUUCUAGUGUUGUAACCUUCACAUAAUUUACGUCAAUAAAGAAAUGCCUACCAACAAAA